UUGGAUGCACAAUAAAUCCUUGAGAAGUGA
rnacentral:piRNA from 1 species